AAAGACCUGUGAUUAGUGGGAUGUUCCCCCACGGAGCGCAUGCUCCGCCCGCCUGAAGUCCCUUCAGUUCCUUUUAGCUGCCGCUUAGGUCAGACCUUCUCGAUGACUAGAGCAACUAACUUUUCAGUCGCGAUCACCUAUCGUCUUGUUUGCUUUUAUAGGCUUCAAUUUACUUCUCAUUGACGUUUCCCCGUGAGUUUUUUCUUUCCUUACAUUCUCUUUCCCAUAUUUUUCAUACUUUCAUUUUCCUCUUCCACCUCCCUCUCCCGCCUUUUUAUGGCCCCUCCAGGUCCGUUCAAUUGGUGCGUGUCUUGUUCAGAUAAGAUUCCCCUAUCUGACGGUCAUGACUGCUGCCUUUUUUGUUUGGGGGAACAACACCAGUCUUGCCCAGAGUGCAAGAGACUGAGCAAACCGGCCCUUGAACUCCGGCUUCAGCGUCUCCGCUCCUUUCUUUGGGAAAGAUCCCUCCAACCAACCACCUAUUCCAUGGAGCCUACCUCGAAUCCUGUGCCCGGAGAGGAAUUACCUGAAUCCGUGUCGGACUCGACCACGCCAUCUCCAAAACUGAAGGGACCUUCAAAAUCCUCUUCGAAGUCUAAAUCGACGUUGGUAUCAAAGUCAUCCUCCACACGGGCUCAGGAUCAUUCAUGUAAAAAGAAGGAGCAUGUUAAAUCCAAGAAGGAUAAAAAACCAUCUAAGCUUUCUCAACCUCUCAAACCUCCAUCAGAUCUCCCCUCACUGAUCUUGGAGGAAUCGAGAGAUGUUCCUGACUCCUUGUCGGAAGGGGAGGACCCUCUCCUACUAUCUCCAGGCCAGACUUACGUUUCCCUAACGAGCCUUUUGCCUAGUCUUGGCCUCUUGGUGGCUGAUGUUCCUUUCAGCCUGGUCUCGGCCCAUUCUAGCCCUAUAUCUCCAGGGUGGGCAACAAUCAUCCAGAUGUCCAACUCAGAAUCCUCUUUUCAUCAAUCUCCCCCUCACAAAGACUUAGUGAAGAGACGUCAUCUUUCAACGCUGGGCACUUUCCAUCAUCCGCCAUGGUUACCUUCUCGAAUUCAUAGAACUCCCUCCUGUCAGUCACCUCAGACAUACUCCAUACUCACCUGCUUUUUGAGACAAAGUCUAUCUUCUACAGAAACAAGCUAUUCACAGAGUUCCAGACAGAGAUCUUCACACUGGCUUCUAUUCCAGAUACUUUAUGGUUCCAAAACGAGAUGGAGGGCUCUGUUCUAUCCUCGAUUUCAGAUGCCUCAACACAUACAUCCAGCCCAAACGCUUCCAGAUGGUCACUCUAGACACGGUUAUCCUGCUCCUCUCCUCCGGAGACUGGUUUGUCAUAAUAGACCUUCAAGAUGCAUAUUUUCACAUUUCUAUCCAUCCUCGUCAUCGCAAAUACCUUUGCUUCUUUGUUGAAGGAAUUGCUUACUAGUUUUGCUCCCUCCCCUUCGGCCUUUCCACUGCUCCACAGA
rnacentral:lncRNA from 1 species